GGGAACGUAGCUCAGUCGGUAGAGCAACAGCCUUUUAAGCUGAUGGUCGUGGGUUCGAUUCCCACCGUUCCCA
rfam:Candidatus Doudnabacteria bacterium RIFCSPLOWO2_02_FTLL_48_13 rifcsplowo2_02_scaffold_11303, whole genome shotgun sequence.